CACUGCCAGCAGACGCAAGUGAGGGAUGGGAGCGCCUGAUAGCCCACAUCUCCAGGAGCAGAUUGUAAGUGAAAUCUCAAGUAUUCAUCCGCAGGGAGGAUCUGGGCAGGAACAAAAUCCCAGAAGUUUCUGUUUGUGUGGUAAGAUACAGAAAUAGUGUGGGCUGAGAAGCAGAGGGGCAGGUCCUGCCUUUCGUGUAGCAAAAUGACAAUUACCCCAUCUUUCAGCCGGCUGUGCAGAAAGAGCUGCUACCCUUUCCUGCUUCCUGAGGACAUUUCAACAUGACUUCGAGCACAAUUAAAGUGAACUGCCAAGGUUAAGCGAGCUUUCCUUCCUUAGGGAAUCUCCCAACCCCCAAUUCUAUAAUACUACUCACUUAGUUUGGCUAUGGUGAAACCCACCUUGUCCUCUACUAAAGAUAUGGAACUACCACCUCGCCAGUCAGUCUUCCAUGAUCCCGGCCACCGCAAUUGGCUCAGGUAGGGGCACAUGACCUAAGUUGGCCAAUCAGUUUUCUUGGGCCUUUUGUUAAAGCUCUUCUCUUUCUUUAGGUCGUUGCUGCCAUGAAGUAAGUCUGUCUGGAAAUGAAGGCAAGCAGAGGCAACAAAGCUGAGACAUGGAGACAGAGAGAGUCCUGAUGUUAUUAUUUGAACCAUUGAGUCCAGCUGUGCCUGAAACUCUUCAGUGAACCAAGAAAUUCCUUUUUGGCUUAAGCCAAUUGGAGUCGUGUUUGUGAUACUUGCAAAUGAAAGGAGUUAUUGACUAAUAAAACUGACAUUUCUAUCUCUCCAAGAAUUAGGAAAUA
rnacentral:lncRNA from 1 species